rnacentral:rRNA from 1 species
GGUGAGUAAUGCCUAGGAAUCUGCCUGGUAGUGGGGGACAACGUUUCGAAAGGAACGCUAAUACCGCAUACGUCCUACGGGAGAAAGCAGGGGACCUUCGGACCUUGCGCUAUCAGAUGAGCCUAGGUCGGAUUAGCUAGUUGGUGAGGUAAUGGCUCACCAAGGCGACGAUCCGUAACUGGUCUGAGAGGAUGAUCAGUCACACUGGAACUGAGACACGGUCCAG